AAAGGCCCUGAUACUAUCUCUGAUAGGGACAGGUAAUAAGCAUUCACUAAACUGCCUAAUGAGCAUCUUGGUGGAGAUUAAAGGCUGGAAAAGCAAGGAUCUGCGUGGACUGGGUUUGAAUUGUCACGUGGCGGAAGAAGGGGGUUGGAUGGACAUAGGGUUUGGCCUGGAGACGCACCAGGGACAUGGUGCUGAACAGGAGUGGCCAGCUCUGAGCUCAAGGUCUAGAGGGAGAUAGACAAGCCAAACUGAUCAUUACAUGCUCAUGAGAACAACACGGUCUAUGAGAGUGAUGUAGGCUGAAAAUUGAAAUUAAAGCAGAAGACACUUCUGGAAACAAGGAAAACCUUUUCUGUAAGGAACAUAAAAUUCUUUGAGUGAGAACUAAAUAAGAGUGUGGAGUGGCUUUCCUUUGAGGUGUUUGUGAAGAAAAUACAUCAUGGCUGCUGUGCCUGCUUAGUCCUGGGUGACUGAAAUCCGUCAUGACAUCAACCAAGGCCUGGGUUAACUUUUUCUUCUUAACUAGAAAAUUUCUUGAUAACCCAUAUUACUGAAAAGAAU